ACUAUGAAUAUAUGAACGGAAUUUCAGCUUCUCAAAUCAGAAAGCAUUGCGAAAGUUCCGUUGGAUUGCCGUGAUGCGUGUGUGUACGUCGUGUAGCUAGGACGGUGGUUAACAAAAACACAACCUCUAGAACUCGCAUUUUUCAAGCAUUUUCAAUAUUUAAAGACCUGAAGUCCCAUCCACUAUUCCACGCAAUCGACUGGAAGCGAAUCAGGGAGACAGAAGCCCCUUUCAUCCCAGCCCCAGAUGACAGAACGGACACCACUUAUUUUGACGCUCGGAACAACAUGCAGCAUCUCCAGAUGUCUUCUUUUGCACUUUGACCUCUUGAAUGAUAGUGCAAUCCACAACUUAUCAACAGAAGUAAUGAAACUAUUCCAGGAUGGUGGUCAACUUGGUCCAGUGGUUAGACUGCAGGACUUGCAAUCACAAGGUUGUAGGUUUGAAUCCUACUAAGCUAACUGUGGU